GUGCAAAGGUUUCCUCAGGCCAGACGGACAUUGGUCCUCGAGUGCAAAGGCAGAAGGGAGCUUGACUGUAAGACUCACCCGUCGAGCAGAGACGAAAGUCGGCCUUAGUGAUCCGACGGUGCCGAGUGGAAGGGCCGUCGCUCAAC
rfam:Oryza barthii chromosome 6, whole genome shotgun sequence.